rnacentral:rRNA from 1 species
GGGCCGACAGAGUUUGAUCCUGGCUCAGGACGAACGCUGGCGGCGUGCCUAACACAUGCAAGUCGAGCGAUCCAGCCCUUAGCAUAGCUAAGAGCUAGAUAGCGGCGGACGGGUGAGUAACGCGUGGGGAACCUGCCUUGUAGAGGGGGAUAGCCUCGGGAAACCGGGAUUAAUACCCCAUAAAACUUAAAUAUCGCAUGAUAAAAAAGUCAAAACAUAAGUGCUACAAGAUGGUCCCGCGUCCCAUUAGCUAGUUGGUGAGAUAACAGCCCACCAAGGCGACGAUGGGUAGCCGAUCUGAGAGGGUGAACGGCCACAUUGGGACUGAGACACGGCCCAAACUCCUACGGGAGGCAGCAGUGGGGAAUAUUGCGCAAUGGGGGAAACCCUGACGCAGCAACGCCGCGUGAGCGAAGAAGGUCUUCGGGUCGUAAAGCUCUGUCUUAAGGGAAGAAGAAGUGACAGUACCUUAAGAGGAAGCCCCGGCUAACUACGUGCCAGCAGCCGCGGUAAUAACCUAAAUAGCUA